rnacentral:rRNA from 1 species
AUUGAACGCUGGCGGCAGGCCUAACACAUGCAAGUCGAACGGUAGCACAGAGGAGCUUGCUCCUCGGGUGACGAGUGGCGGACGGGUGAGUAAUGUCUGGGGAUCUGCCCGAUAGAGGGGGAUAACCACUGGAAACGGUGGCUAAUACCGCAUAACGUCGCAAGACCAAAGAGGGGGACCUUCGGGCCUCUCACUAUCGGAUGAACCCAGAUGGGAUUAGCUAGUAGGCGGGGUAACGGCCCACCUAGGCGACGAUCCCUAGCUGGUCUGAGAGGAUGACCAGCCACACUGGAACUGAGACACGGUCCAGACUCCUACGGGGGGCAGCAGUGGGGAAUAUUGCACAAUGGGCGCAAGCCUGAUGCAGCCAUGCCGCGUGUAUGAAGAAGGCCUUCGGGUUGUAAAGUACUUUCAGCGGGGAGGAAGGCGAUGUGGUUAAUAACCGCGUCGAUUGACGUUACCCGCAGAAGAAGCACCGGCUAACUCCGUGCCAGCAGCAGCCGCCG